AGUGAACGCUGGCGGUAGGCCUAACACAUGCAAGUCGAACGGCAGCACAGGAGAGCUUGCUCUCUGGGUGGCGAGUGGCGGACGGGUGAGGAAUACAUCGGAAUCUGCUCAGUCGUGGGGGAUAACGUAGGGAAACUUACGCUAAUACCGCAUACGACCUUCGGGUGAAAGAGGGGGAUCGCAAGACCUCUCGCGAUUGGAUGAGCCGAUGUCGGAUUAGCUAGUUGGCGGGGUAAUGGCCCACCAAGGCGACGGUCCGUAGCUGGUCUGAGAGGAUGAUCAGCCAGACUGGAACUGAGACACGGUACAGACUCCUACGGGAGGCAGCAGUGGGGAAUAUUGGACCAUGGGCGCAAGCCUGAUCAAGCCAUACCGCGUGGGUGAAGAAGGCCUUCGGGUUGUAAAGCCCUUUUGUUGGGAAAGAAAUCUUUCAGGCUAAUACCCUGGGAGGAUGACGGUACCCAAAGAAUAAGCCCCGGCUAACUUCGUG
rnacentral:rRNA from 1 species